GACGAACGCUGGCGGCGUGCUUAACACAUGCAAGUCGAACGGAAAGGCCCUGCUUUUGUGGGGUGCUCGAGUGGCGAACGGGUGAGUAACACGUGAGUAACCUGCCCUUGACUUUGGCAUAACUUCAGGAAACUGGGGCUAAUACCGGAUAGGAGCUCCUGCUGCAUGGUGGGGGUUGGAAAGUUUCGGCGGUUGGGGAUGGACUCGCGGCUUAUCAGCUUGUUGGUGGGGUAGUGGCUUACCAAGGCUUUGACGGGUAGCCGGCCUGAGAGGGUGACCGGCCACAUUGCGACUGAGAUACGGCCCAGACUCCUACGGGAGGCAGCAGUGGGGAAUAUUGCACAAUGGGCGGAAGCCUGAUGCAGCAACGCCGCGUGCGGGAUGACGGCCUUCGGGUUGUAAACCGCUUUCGCCUGUGACGAAGCGUGAGUGACGGUAAUGGGUAAAGAAGCACCGGCUAACUACGUG
rnacentral:rRNA from 1 species